AGUGAACGCUGGCGGUAGGCCUAACACAUGCAAGUCGAACGGCAGCACAGUAAGAGCUUGCUCUUACGGGUGGCGAGUGGCGGACGGGUGAGGAAUACAUCGGAAUCUACUUUUUCGUGGGGGAUAACGUAGGGAAACUUACGCUAAUACCGCAUACGACCUACGGGUGAAAGCAGGGGAUCUUCGGACCUUGCGCGAUUGAAUGAGCCGAUGUCGGAUUAGCUAGUUGGCGGGGUAAAGGCCCACCAAGGCGACGAUCCGUAGCUGGUCUGAGAGGAUGAUCAGCCACACUGGAACUUAGACACGGUCCAGACCACUACGGGAGGCAGCAGGGGGGAAUAUUGGACAAUGGGCGCAAGCCGGAUCCAGCCAUACCGCGGGGGUGAAGAAGGCCUUCUGGUUGUAAAGCCCUUUUGUUGGGAAAGAAAAGCAGCAGGUUAAUACCCCGCUGUUCUGACGGUAACCAAAGAAUAAGCACCGGCUAACUUCGUG
rnacentral:rRNA from 1 species